UACAGAGGUCUCGAGCGUUAGGCGGAAUCACUGGGCUUAAAGCGUGUGUAGGUGGAUGCCUAAGUACCUUGUGAAAUCCCACAGCUUAACUGUGGAACUGCUUGGUAUACUGGGUGUCUUGAGUCACUCAGGGGCGAGCGGAACAAAUGGUGGGAGCGGUGAAAUGCGUAGAUAUCAUUUGGAACGCCAUGGUGAAAACAGCUCGCUGGGGGUGUACUGACACUGAGACACGAAGCCAGGGGAGCGAACGGG
rnacentral:rRNA from 1 species